rnacentral:rRNA from 1 species
UACAGAGGGGGCAAGCGUUGUUCGGAAUUACUGGGCGUAAAGGGCGCGUAGGCGGCCUGCUAAGUCGAACGUGAAAUCCCCCGAGCUCAACUCGGGAACUGCGUCCGAUACUGGCAGGCUUGAAUCCGGGAGAGGGAUGCGGAAUUCCAGGUGUAGCGGUGAAAUGCGCAGAUAUCGGGAGGAACACCAGUAGCGAAGGCGGCACUCUGGGCCGUGACUGACGCUGAGGAGCGAAAGCGUGGGUAGCAAACAGG